rnacentral:rRNA from 1 species
GCGAAAGCCUGAUGCAGCAACGCCGCGUGAGCGAUGAAGGCCUUUGGGUCGUAAAGCUCUGUCCUUGGGGAAGAAUAAAUGACGGUACCCUUGGAGGAAGCCCCGGCUAACUACGUGCCAGCAGCCGCGGUAAUACGUAGGGGGCAAGCGUUAUCCGGAAUUAUUGGGCGUAAAGAGUGCGUAGGUGGUUUUGUAAGCGCGGGGUGAAAGGCAAUGGCUCAACCAUUGUAAGCCUUGCGAACUGUAAGACUUGAGUGCAGGAGAGGAAAGUGGAAUUCCUAGUGUAGCGGUGAAAUGCGUAGAUAUUAGGAGGAACACCAGUGGCGAAGGCGACUUUCUGGACUGUAACUGACACUGAGGCACGAAAGCGUGGGGAGCAAACAGGAUUAGAUACCCUGGUAGUCCACGCCGUAAACGAUGAGCACUAGGUGUCGGGGCCGCAAGGUUUCGGUGCCGCAGUUAACGCAUUAAGUGCUCCGCCUGGGGAGUG